AAUACCUUUAGCUCAGUUGGUAGAGAAUGAGACUCUUAAUCUCAGGGUUGUGGGUUUGAACAAAUAAUGGGCAAAAGAUUCCUGCAGGGGUUU